CUGCAAAAAUAAUUGCCGAUAAUUUGCCAUCUUUUUGCCGAAUGGCAGUUGUUUUUGUAUUUUUAAAAUAUUUUUCUUUUCGUCGAAGUCUUGAAAUUUCCACACCGAAUAGCAAUUUUCAAUAGCUCCAACGUUUGGGAUCAAGUAUUUCUGCUCAUAACUCAGAAAAAACUACUUUGGCUUCAGCAAAUCAUAGGCCUUCAUCAUAGCAGUUAGCCUUCCAGUUUACGUAUAGUUCA